GGGCGAUUAGCUCAGUUGGUUUAGAGCGCUACAUUGACAUUGUAGAGGUCAGAGGUUCGAAUCCUCUAUCGCCCA
rnacentral:tRNA from 2 species